CAGCAGGCGCGCAAAUUACCCAAUCCUAAUACAGGGAGGUAGUGACAAGAAAUAACAAUACAGGACUUUUUGGUUUUGUAAUUGGAAUGAGUUAAGUAUAAACCCCUUUACAAGUAUCAAUUGGAGGGCAAGUCUGGUGCCAGCAGCCGCGGUAAUUCCAGCUCCAAUAGCGUAUAUUAAAGUUGUUGCAGUUAAAAAGCUCGUAGUUGGAUUUCUGUUAAUAAUUUAUAUAAAAUAUUUUGAUGAAUAUUUAUAUAAUAUUAACAUAAUUCAUAUUACUAUAUAUUUUAGUAUAUGAAAUUUUACUUUGAGAAAAUUAGAGUGCUUAAAGCAGGCAUAUGCCUUGAAUACUCCAGCAUGGAAUAAUAUUAAAGAUUUUUAUCUUUCUUAUUGGUUCUAAGAUAAGAAUAAUGAUUAAUAGGGACAGUUGGGGGCAUUUGUAUUUAACAGUCAGAGGUGAAAUUCUUAGAUUUGUUAAAGACAAACUAAUGCGAAAGCAUUUGCCAAGGAUGUUUUCAUUAAUCAAGAACGAAAGUUAGGGGAUCGAAGACGAUCAGA
rnacentral:rRNA from 1 species